GUUUCAGUUUAUUUCACGAAAAGGUAUCACUAGUGACAUCUUGAUUUCCUAAUUUGUAUCCCACCUACCUGGGAGUUUGCCUGAUAGUUGUGUUACAAAAUUGAAAAUCAAGACGGCACUAAUAACUCCCAGGUAAGUGUGAUAAAACUCGGAAAUCAAGAUCUCACUAGUACCUCCCAUCAAAAUAAAGGAGACAAAAGGGAAAACAAAUCUUCAUCCAUUAUGUGGGUUUUGUGUGGUACCUAUAUGAAAGGUGGUUGCAUAAUUGUCAGAGAAUAUUGAUGGACUAGGAUAGGUUGCCUGAUUGUCGUGUCACAAAUUUAGAGAGGGGGGGAUACAGGAGAAAAUCUCAAGGUCUAGCUCCCCUUUGUGUUGGAUUGAUGAAGUGUUCACCCUACUGCAUAUUAUAUUGGAGUUGGAGUUGAUACAGGUAUGUGCUAGUUACAAAUUGCAAUGCUCCAGUCAGACGCAUUACUGAAUUCUAUUGGUGACUAACACUACCUUAUUUUGUAGAUCAAUCUCCUUGGAAGAUGAAGGUUAGCACAAGCUUUGUUUGGUUCGACCAGUCUUCUGCCACUGAAACAACCACAUGAGAAAGUACUGUCAGGUGGAUGCAGUUUCAUUUGUUCCAAGCGCUUCUGUGCUAAUGCAGAAUUCUUGUUAAACUGCAAGGUGCACACCAGUUAUUAUACUUGGAUAUUAAUUUAUUUUGCAAAUCCCUUGUGACAUUCUUAAUGACUCGAUUUAUAUUUUUCUUCUACUGCAGUGGAAACCUAUCUUAAGUCCUUACCCAGGAAUUGCUGUCGUGAAUAUGCAAUCAGGCCAAUCCCUUUCACUCAUAUG
rnacentral:lncRNA from 1 species